UGGUAUAAGUUAGGUUUUUUCGAAAAAGUUAGUUUUGGUAAAAGUUAGGUUUUUUAGAAAAAGUUAGGUUUUUUCGAAAAAGUUAAUUUUGGUAUAAGUUAGGUUUUUUCAAAAAAGUUAGUUUU